AGUGAACGCUGGCGGUAGGCCUAACACAUGCAAGUCGAACGGCAGCACAGUAAGAGCUUGCUCUUACGGGUGGCGAGUGGCGGACGGGUGAGGAAUACAUCGGAAUCUACUUUUUCGUGGGGGAUAACGUAGGGAAACUUACGCUAAUACCUCAUACGACCUACGGGUGAAAGCAGUGGAUCUUCGGACCUUGCGCGAUUGAAUGAGCCGAUGUCGGAUUAGCUAGUUGGCGGGGUAAAGGCCCACCAAGGCGACGAUCCGUAGCUGGUCUGAGAGGAUGAUCAGCCACACUGGAACUGAGACACGGUCCAGACUCCUACGGGAGGCAGCAGUGGGGAAUAUUGGACAAAGGGCGCAAGCCUGAUCCAGCCAGACCGCGUGGGUGAAGAAGGCCUUCGGGUUGUAAAGCCCUUUUGUUGGGAAAGAAAAGCAGCAGGUUAAUACCCCGCUGUUCUGACGGUACCAAAAGAAUAAGCACCGGCUAACUUCGUG
rnacentral:rRNA from 1 species